rnacentral:rRNA from 1 species
AUUGAACGCUGGCGGAAUGCUUUACACAUGCAAGUCGAACGGCAGCACGGACUUCGGUCUGGUGGCGAGUGGCGAACGGGUGAGUAAUGUAUCGGAACGUAUCCAAUAAUGGGGGAUAACUAGUCGAAAGAUUAGCUAAUACCGCAUACGCCCUACGGGGGAAAGCUAGGGACCUUCGGGCCUGGCGUUAAUGGAGCGGCCGAAAUCUGAUUAGCUAGUUGGUGAGGUAAAAGCUCACCAAGGCGACGAUCAGUAGCUGGUCUGAGAGGACGACCAGCCAAACUGGAACUGAGACACGGUCCAGACUCCUACGGGAGGCAGCAGUGGGGAAUUUUGGACAAUGGGCGAAAGCCUGAUCCAGCCAUUCCGCGUGAGUGAAGAAGGCCUUCGGGUUGUAAAGCUCUUUCGCAAGAGAAGAAAACUUACCCUCUAACAUAGGGUGAGGCUGACGGUAUCUUGAUAAGAAGCACCGGCUAACUACGUGCCAGCCGCCGCCGUAAUAC